GUACGGGAGGCAGCAGUGGGGAAUAUUGGACAAUGGGCGAAAGCCUGAUCCAGCAACGCCGCGUGAGGGAUGACGGCCUUCGGGUUGUAAACCUCUUUCAGUAGGGACGAAGCGCAAGUGACGGUACCUACAGAAGAAGCACCGGCCAACUACGUGCCAGCAGCCGCGGUAAUACGUAGGGUGCGAGCGUUGUCCGGAAUUAUUGGGCGUAAAGGGCUCGUAGGCGGUUUGUCGCGUCGGGAGUGAAAACACGGGGCUUAACCCCGUGCCUGCUUCCGAUACGGGCAGACUAGAGGUAUGCAGGGGAGAACGGAAUUCCUGGUGUAGCGGUGAAAUGCGCAGAUAUCAGGAGGAACACCGGUGGCGAAGGCGGUUCUCUGGGCAUUACCUGACGCUGAGGAGCGAAAGUGUGGGGAGCGAACAGGAUUAGAUACCCUGGUAGA
rnacentral:rRNA from 1 species